GCUUAUCUGGUAUUUAACUUUUCUUUCUCUGCUUGUCAAAUGAGAGUUAGAUUUUAUUUUUACAUUUGCUAAGUGUCCUGAUCUGCUCAUGAAAUCCUUCUAUGGGGGAAGCUGUGGGGCAGAUUCCUUAAGCGACCCUUUGGGACAACUCUUAUCAGGGAGGAGCGAACUGCUCAUUUCUGCCUACUUCUUUCCCUUCUGCUUCAUGUGUACUACAAAAUAGUCAUUGCAUGCAAUGGUGAGGCCCGCAAUUAGGGAAAAGAAGCUCUGGAAGCCCACUUUGCCAUCUCUACACUGGUCCAGGUCCUUCAUUAUUUUGUCCACAGCCAGAGGGGAACUCCUUUUCCAUGAGUACUCUCAGGUCCUCCUUUGUUAAGUAGCCUUUAUCCCCAGCGAAUUUGUGAAAUGUAAACAUCAUGGUUUCCA
rnacentral:lncRNA from 1 species